GGCCUUGAUCUGCACGGGACAUCCAGUGCCCUCCUUCCCCAGCGAUCCCCUCAACGAGGCUACAUUCCGCCGCAGCAAUUUCUGGGCGUCGUCGUCUCCUCCGACCAUCUCGCCGUAACAUCCUUGGAGCCGCCAAUUAUAGUUCGUCAGUGAGCUGCAGAGAUCAGCGACGCGUUCAAGGGGUUCAUGUAUGACAAGCAGUCAAGACAAUCGAGAUGGCAACAUGCUGACCAAUCUGCAAUCCAAGAACACUUUGGAGCCCAGCAUCCAAGUGGACCUCAUAUUCCGUUGAUUGG